GACCCCGUAGUCGACAAGUUUAUUCCAACGUUGCACAACAUGAACCGUCUGCGAUCGACAGAUAAUACGAUAUUCACUGAUAAUACGACGGUCCGGUGAUAACGACGAUAACAUCUCGUCUUCUGACUUCUUGACUUUUUUUAAAUUCUUCAUUCUACAAGUUACAUCCAUAAAUUAUAAUUUGUAUAAUCUGUACUUCAACUGAAUGCCACGAUUUGAGAUGAUAUACAAUUUAGAUAUUUAUUAAAUCGUCCUACAACGUGAAUUUAGGAAAAAAACAACAGGAAGCGAAAGAAAAUUUUGAAAACAGUAACCUCAGUGCAACCAGACCAGAAGUCAGAACUGAUAUUGUUCUUCUUUCAUUUGUCUAUAUUAUCUCGUGUUUUUUAUAACACAAUUCCAGUUUAAAAAAAUCGUUCUCUUAACCAUGUAGUUUGCUUGAGAAAUAUGAAUUGACGUACCUAUACGACGGAGUACGACGAGGUACCUACCUACUUAGUGAAACCAAAGACAAUAAUUUCAAGUGUAGCAACAGGCUCACUGUUACCUGUUCACAGUCAGACUGGACGAGGAAUUAGAUUUAAAACUCGAUCGAUGCAACCAAACACGUAUAUAUAACACAUUUCAAGGACUGACUAUAAUAUAUUUGAAUACCGUUUGUCGACCGUGUGUUUAGGUACUUAUAAUACCCAUUCGACGUUGGACAUAAACGGGUUGUGUAUUAAUUCGUCUCUGCCGGAUAGGUCACCAAAUGUGACGUAAUAUUGUUUCAAUAAUUUUUAAGCAAGAUUAAAAAUAUACUUAUACACUUAUACCUUUAAUCGUGUUUUUAAGUAACCACAGUGUAUUCAAUAUAAGAAUAAAAUAGGAUCAGAAU